CGGACGGGUGAGUAACGCGUGGAAAACCUGCCGUAUACUGGGGGAUAACACUUAGAAAUAGGUGCUAAUACCGCAUAAGCGCACAGCUUCGCAUGAAGCGGUGUGAAAAACUCUGGUGGUAUACGAUGGUUCCGCGUCUGAUUAGCUAGUUGGUGGGGGUAAUGGCCUACCAAGGCAACGAUCAGUAGCCGGCCUGAGAGGGUGAACGGCCACAUUGGGACUGAGACACGGCCCAAGCUCCUACGGAAGGCAGCAG
rnacentral:rRNA from 1 species